rnacentral:misc_RNA from 1 species
UUAACGAUUUACUUUUCGUAUACUGACAGAAGUUUACAGAAGUGGUUUUUGUGGGCCUCAGGCGGGCUGACAGCACAAAGCAUGCCGCCGAAGCAACGGGAGGUUCACAAUGGUUUGAAGUAACGAGUACCCGAACGAUCUCACAAGGAGACCAGACUGGCAUUACGUAUGUUUAGAGCCCAAACGGCUGGUCCACCCAGACUUUCAUCCAGGUGAAGGAUAUUUUUAAUGAUCCUUCCGCAGGUUCACCUACGGAAA